CCCUGCCAUUUGUACACACCGCCCGUCGCUUCUACUGAUGAAUGAUCCGGUGAACACUUUGGACCUGUGUCUGUCCGGGGCAACUCGCCAGACUGCGGGGAAGUUGUGUAAACCUUAUCAUUUAGAGG
rnacentral:rRNA from 1 species